UACGUAGGGGGCCAGCGUUGUCCGGAAUCAUUGGGCGUAAAGCGCGCGUAGGCGGCCAGAUAAGUCCGGUGUGAAAGUCAAAGGCUCAACCUUUGAAUGUCAGCGGAUACUGCCGGGCUAGAGUCCGGAAGAGGCGAGUGGAACUCCUGGUGUAGCGGUGGAAUGCGCAGAUAUCAGGAGGAACACCGGUGGCGAAGGCGGAUCUCUGGGCCUGUCCUGACGCUGAGGCGCGAAAGCUAGGGGAGCGAACAGG
rnacentral:rRNA from 1 species